rnacentral:misc_RNA from 1 species
GAUGAAGAACGCAGCGAAAUGCGAUAAGUAAUGUGAAUUGCAGAAUUCAGUGAAUCAUCGAAUCUUUGAACGCACAUUGCGCCCGCCAGUAUUCUGGCGGGCAUGCCUGUUCGAGCGUCAUUACAACCCUCAGGCCCCCGGGCCUGGCGUUGGGGAUCGGCGGAAGCCCCCUGUGGGCACACGCCGUCCCUCAAAUACAGUGGCGGUCCCGCCGCAGCUUCCAUUGCGUAGUAGCUAACACCUCGCAACUGGGGAGCGGCGCGGCCAUGCCGUAAAACAACCAACUUCUGAAUGUUGACCUCGAAUCAGGUAGGAAUACCCGCUGAACUUAAGCAUAUCAAUAAGCGGAGGA